rnacentral:tRNA from 1 species
GGAGGGAUGGCAGAGUGGUUGAAUGCGGUGGUCUUGAAAACCACUGAAGUCGCAAGGCUUCCGGGGGUUCGAAUCCCUCUCCCUCCGCCU